GCCAGGCAUGGUGGCGCAUGCCUGCAAUCCCAGCUACUCGGGAGGCUGAGGCAGGAGAAUUGCUUGAACCCGGGAGGCGGAGGUUGCAGUGAGCCAAGAUCAUGCCACUGCACUCUAGCCUGGGCGACAGAGUGAGACUCUGUCUCAA
rfam:Gorilla gorilla gorilla genomic chromosome, chr18, whole genome shotgun sequence